AACGAACGCUGGCGGCAGGCUUAACACAUGCAAGUCGAACGGGUGCAGCAAUGCAUCAGUGGCAGACGGGUGAGUAACACGUGGGAACCUUCCUAGGGGUACGGAACAACUCAGGGAAACUUGAGCUAAUACCGUAUACGUCCGUGAGGAGAAAGAUUCAUCGCCCCUAGACGGGCCCGCGUCGGAUUAGGUAGUUGGUGGGGUAACGGCCUACCAAGCCUACGAUCCGUAGCUGAUCUGAGAGGAUGAUCAGCCACACUGGGACUGAGACACGGCCCAGACUCCUACGGGAGGCAGCGAGUGGGGAAUCUUGGACGAAUGGGCGCAAGCCUGAUCCAGCCAUGCCGCGUGAGUGAAGAAGG
rnacentral:rRNA from 1 species